rnacentral:rRNA from 1 species
AUUCCAGCUCCAAUAGCGUAUAUUAAAGUUGUUGCAGUUAAAAAGCUCGUAGUUGGAUUUGUGGUGUGUACCGCGGCGUCCACUUUUGUGGUUCUGCCGUGGUUGCGCCAUCCUUGGGUGGAACCUGCGUGGCAUUAGGUUGUCGUGCAGGGGAUGCCCAUCGUUUACUGUGAAAAAAUUAGAGUGUUCAAAGCAGGCUUAUGCCGUUGAAUAUACUAGCAUGGAAUAAUGAGAUAGGUCUUUGGUCCUAUUUUGUUGGUUUGCGGGCCAGGGAAAUGAUUAACAGGGACAGUUGGGGGUAUUCGUAUUCCAUUGUCAGAGGUGAAAUUCUUGGAUUUCUGGAAGACGAACUACUGCGAAAGCAUUUACCAAGGAUGUUUUCAUUAAUCAAGAACGAAAGUUAGGGGAUCGAAGAUGAUUAGAUACCAUCGUA